GACGGAGGAUGCAAGUGUUAUCCGGAAUCACUGGGCGUAAAGCGUCUGUAGGUGGUUUCAAAAGUCCACUGUUAAAGAUUGAAGCUUAACUUCAAAAAUGCCGUGGAAACUUUGAAACUUGAGUAUGAUAGGGGUAGAGGGAAUUUCCAGUGGAGCGGUGAAAAUGCGUAGUAUAUUGGAAAGACCACCAAUGGCGAAGGCACUCUACUGGGCCAUUACUGACACUGAGAGACGAAAGCUAGGGGAGCAAAUGGG
rnacentral:rRNA from 1 species